GGGCUUAUCUGCACUGCUAAAGUUCGGAGCUGGACGCUCAAAGGCCAACCGAUCAGAGACCAAGACUCUUCUGGCAAAACCAACAGCAUCCAGAGCAGUCCCACGCUUUUAAAAUGCUGUGAGGGAAAAUCCUUUUCAGGCAGAUUCUGGAAGCUUGGCCUCUCCAGCUCAAUUGUCAAUGUCUUAAGAGCAGGGACCACAGCAUAUUCGCCUGUGUCUCCCAUGGCACCUGACUUGUUUAGGCAGGAAUUCAGAAGGUUAGUCCUGAGCUAACAUCUGCUGCCAAUCCUCUUCUUUUUGCUGAGGAAGACUGUCCCUGAGCUAACAUCUGUGCCCACCUUCCUCUACUUUAUAUGUGGGACACCUGCCACAGCAUGGCUUGACAAGAGGUGCCAUGUACGCACCUGGGAUCCGAGCCAGCGGACCCUGGACCGCUGAAGUGGAACAUGCGAACUUAACCACUACACCACCAGGCCGGCCCCUGCUGCAGUAAUUCCUGAAAGAGACGAACGAAGAUGAUGCCAGUAACAAUACUACAUGGCUAACAUUCACGUGUUCACUCAGCAAAUAUUUAUUGAGUGCAUUAUGAGCUAGGUGCUUGUGGUGGGCUGAAUAAGCGCCCUGAAAGAUAUCCAGUUCUUAACACCUGGAACCUGUGAAUGUCACCUACAUGGCAAAAGGAACUUUGCAGAUUUCAUCAAGUUAAGGAUUUUAAGAUAGGGGGAUUAUCCUAGAUCAUCUGGUGGGCCCUAAAUGCAUCAUAAGGGUCCUUGUAAGAGAGAGGCAGAGGGAGAUUUGAUUAUAGAAGGGAAGAAAGUGGUGUGAUGCUAGAAGCAGGGGGAGACAGUGCGAGGUGAGGCGGCCCAUGAGCCAAGGAAUGAGGAAGCUGGAAAAGGCAAGACAACAGACUAUUCCCCUGGAGCCUCCAGAAAGAAGAAGCCCUGCCGACACCUUGAUUUUAUUCCCAUGACUCAUUUUGGACUUCUGACCUCCAGAACUGUGAGAAUAAAUCAGUGUUUUAUACCAGC
rnacentral:lncRNA from 1 species